UGUCACAGCCCUGAUUUCAAGAUCUAAUUGGCUUCUGUCUGCGAAUACGUCACGAUCAUGAUUAGAAUUGAUGAUCGGAUGUUUAGAUUUCAUUGUCUGGCUAGGGGACUGCUGAAGAAAUCUGCUGAAUUAGAGCGGUCGUUUGAUUUGACGACAAAAACAGCACCUCAGGGAGACAAAGACACCGCACCAUGUCUCAGCCCCUGCACCCUGCAGCCCAGGAGACUGAGCUAGCAUGACCAGCUAGACCACCAUAACCCCCGGACAGACGGACAGACAGUAUCUGCUGCCUGGCCGUAGGCCUAUCUGGCCCUGCUGCCUAGACCUCACCCCGGCCCUGCUGCCUAGAC